UGAGCGGAGAUAUAUGGAGCUUGCUUUAUAUAACUUAGCAGCGAACGGGUGAGUAACACGUAGAUAAUCUAUCCUAUACUGGGGGAUAGCCCGAUGAAAGUUGGAUUAAUACCGCAUAUAGCUAUAUAGUUGCAUGAUUAUGUAGUGAAAGAUUUAUUGGUAUAGGAGGAGUCUGCGGCACAUUAGCUAGUAGGUGAGGUAAAGGCUUACCUAGGCGACGAUGUGUAGCCGGUCUGAGAGGAUGAACGGCCACAAUGGAACUGAGACACGGUCCAUACUCCUACGGGAGGCAGCAGUGGGGAAUAUUGCACAAUGGGGGAAACCCUGAUGCAGCAACGCCGCGUGAGUGAAGAAGGUUUUCGGAUUGUAAAGCUCUGUUAGCAGGGAAGAGGAAGGACGGUACCUGCAGAGGAAGCCACGGCUAACUACGUGCCAGCAGCCGCGGUAAUACGUAGGUGGCAAGCGUUGUUCGGAAUAACUGGGCGUAAAGGAUGCGUAGGCGGUUAAACAAGUUAUAUGUUAAAUAUAUAGGCUUAACCUGUAGAAAGCAUAUAAAACUGUUUAACUAGAGUGCAGGAGAGGUAAGUGGAAUUCCUAGUGUAGCGGUGAAAUGCGUAGAGAUUAGGAAGAACACCAGUGGCGAAGGCGACUUACUGGACUGUAACUGACGCUGAGGCAUGAGAGCAUGGGGAGCAAACAGGAUUAGAUACCCUGGUAGUCCAUGCUGUAAACGAUGGGUACUAGGUGUGGGUUGUGAAUAACAAUUCGUGCCG
rnacentral:rRNA from 1 species